UACAGAGGUCUCAAGCGUUGUUCGGAUUCAUUGGGCGUAAAGGGUGCGUAGGCGGCGCGGUAAGUCGGGUGUGAAAUCUUGGAGCUUAACUCCGAAACUGCAUUCGAUACUGCCGUGCUUGAGGACUGGAGAGGAGACUGGAAUUUACGGUGUAGCGGUGAAAUGCGCAGAUAUCAGGAGGAACACCGGUGGCGAAGGCGGGUCUCUGGGCCGAAACUGACGCUGAGGAGCGAAAGCGUGGGGAGCAAACAGG
rnacentral:rRNA from 1 species